GAAGGUGGCAAGCGUUGUUCGGAAUCACUGGGCUUAAAGCGCGCGUAGGCGGAAAUUCAAGUGUCUUGUGAAAUCCCUCGGCUUAACCGAGGAAUUGCUUGGCAAACUGAAUUUCUUGAGAUAAGUAGGGGUACAUGGAACUCUUGGUGGAGCGGUGGAAUGCGUAGAUAUCAAGAGGAACGCCGAAGGUGAAGACAGUGUACUGGGCUUAUUCUGACGCUGAGGUGCGAAAGCGUGGGGAGCGAACGGGAUUAGAUACCCCGGUAGUCCACGCCGUAAACGAUGUCUACUAGGUUGUGGAGGUUCUGACACCCUCACAGUCGAAGCAAAAGUGUUAAGUAGACCGCCUGGGGAGUACGGUCGCAAGGCUA
rnacentral:rRNA from 1 species